ensembl:snRNA U6 U6 spliceosomal RNA
GUGCUCACUUCGGCAGCACAGACACUAAAACCGGAACGAUAUAGAGAUGAGAAUGGUCCCUGUGCAAGGAUGACACACAAAUUCAUGAAGCAGUCCUUAUUUUU